UAUAUCUAUAUAUUACUUCCUUGUUGAGCUACCUGGCUAUACACAGCCAGUGUAGUGACGGUUUAUACCUGACAGCAACAAGACCCAUCAGAUCUCACCGCGGUGCCAGACGACAGGAGUGAUGAAGACAGUUUGUGCUGCAGUAUUAUAUCUGAUGGCAGGUGUUGUAUCAGGUGCACCCAGUGCCAGUCCAGUGUUGUCUGCAGUGUCUGACACAGCCAGGUUCAGCUGGGAGAUUCCACAGGGAGGUCUGGGGACAGGGAGUAGUUUCUAUGCUGUCAGUCCUGCUGGUAUCACUGUGUUCCUAGUGACCGGUACUGGGACAUUCUUGACCUUUGACACCUACAGAGACAGACUGGUGUACCAGGGGAACAUAGCAGCCAGGAAUGUCACCUUUACCCUCAGUAACAUCCAGACAUCCGAUGCAGGAACAUACACCUGUGGGAAUGGAGGAGCUAGUACUGAGAUACAGAACUGUGGACAGAAACUUGUUGUCCUGGGUACACUCAGUGCCAGUCCAGUGUUGUCGGCAGUGUCUGACACAGCCAAGUUCAGCUGGGAGAUUCCACAGGGAGGUCUGGGGACAGGGAGUAGUUUCUAUGCUGUCAGUCCUGCUGGUGUCACUGUGUUCCUAGUGACAGGUUCUGGGACAUUUGUCCCCACCACCAACUACAUAGAUAGACUGGUGUACGAGGGGAACAUAACAACCAGGAAUGUCACCUUCACCCUCAGCAACAUCCAGACAUCAGAUGCAGGGACAUACACGUGUGGGAAUGGAGGAGGGGCCAGUAGUGUGAUACAGAACUGUGGACAGAAACUUGUUGUCCUGGGAAAACCCACGACACCUGGCCGUCCACCUGUGUCAACAACACCUGUCUACAACCAGUCAGUGACCUUGACCUGCAGCUCCACCGCUACCACAGUCCCAGCUGACCAUCGUCUGACCUUGACCUACACCUGGCAGCGUGACAACACUGACAUCACAGUUACCUCCCCUGGUUCCCCCUACACCUUCACAGUGAGUUCAAGGGACAGUCACAGCUACAGAUGUAGAGCCAGAGAAAGUCAGGGUCUGGAGUCCGAGUGGAGCCAGGAGUACAACAUGGAACCUCAGUACGGUCCCUACCAGAUCUCCCUGACCCCCUCCACCUCCUCCUACACUGUGACAGAACACCAGGCUCUUCCAUCAAUCACGUGCUCCGCCCUCUGUAGACCCGGAUGUAGCUACAGGUGGUUACACAAUGGAUCAGUCUUCAGCAGUGGAGCCGUGCUCCAGGGACAAGCUGACAGAUCCAAGACAGGCUUCUACAGAUGUCAGCCUUAUAAUACACACGGGAGUAGUGACAGUGUUACAGUCAGUGUUGAUGUUCAGUACCCUGCCGACAUAAGCAUGUUUACCGCCAACUCUCACAGUGGCUCAGUAACAGUUAACGAGUCUGAUACAGUGACCUUUAGAUGCCAGAUUGACAGUAACCCAAGGUCAGUCAUCAGGUUACUGAAUGGAACUGGAGAAUUGACAAGGGCAGAUAACUCCCUGACAGCAGCAUACAGACUGGAGUCAGCAGACUGUAGACAAAGAGGGAACUACACCUGUACGGCCUCCAACAACGUCGGGGCACCUGUCACCCAGACGGUGGUGUUGCUGGUUAAAAGUUCUCCACGACUUGAUGACUCGGUGUCCCAGCAACUCAAGUUUGCUGCUACUCUGGGUGGUGACGUGACUGUGUCUGUGUCAGUCCUGGCCAACCCCUUUCCUACAUUCACCUGGAGUAGAUCCAUCAGCACCAGCCAGGACCUCACUGGUUCCUCCAGCCCUGUCUCAGACAUCUCAGCCACUGCAAGACUACACCUUACUAACCUCCAGCGGCAGGACUUUGGGGACUACAGUCUUUCAGUGGACAAUGGUGUUGGCGGUUCAGUGACAUACACUAUAAGCGUAGUGGCUGAAGGACCACCAGAGACACCUUCACAGUUUAGAGAUCUGGAUAAUGCAACAACGUCGUCGGUAUGGCUGUCGUGGCUGCCUGGGUUCAAUGGUGGACGCCCUCAGACGUUUCUCAUUGAGUAUCGUCAGUUUGCUACACGAACGUGGACUGUUUAUAAGUCUUAUGAUGACACUGACGAGAUGAUGGUUGUGGAAGUAACUGGGCUUACACCAGGAGAGGUUUACCCAUUCCGACUUCAAGCGAGAAAUGACUAUGGAGACUCUAACAGAUAUGUCUUCGUAGAAACUACGACUGCAGGGGAUCCACAAGCCCAGCAAAAGGUCGAAGCUGCAUGUACCUAUACAGGAGUAAUAGCAGGUGCGACAGUAGGAACCUUUCUUCUUACCCUGCUCAUUGGAGGAACUGUUCUAAUGGUGCUGUAUCGUAAGGGCUACCGGAUCGGAAAUACUUUAAAAGAUGCUCAAAAAAGAUCAGAUCACUGCUCCAGCGCAGUAUUCAAAUUUGGAAGAGGAAUCAGAAAAACAACAGUACACACAGUUGAAGAUGUGCGAGAAUACAAAAGAGAAUGCUGCGGCAGAUACAAGUACCUAUGAAGGCGUGACAGAGACUCCCCCUGUGACCUAUGAGUCCAUCAGGGCAUCCCCAUACCAGAACACUGGGGCACAUCCUCAAGCUCCUCAGCAUGGACAUGACUAACGAGGCGAAUGGGUAUACAUCACGACAUCAGUUUAGGUUGCGGAUAAAGAAACACGUUCAUGACACUGCAUUACUUUGCUUUGAGACAGAACGCCGUUGUUAUCUUUCAGUUCAUUCCCAUUACUUUUUGCUUGCUGGAUAAUGAUUCAUAUACAUCCACUAUUAAAAAAAACAUCUACCUUGACCAGCAAGUGAAAUGUUGGUUACGCUUAUGUCAUCUUUGUAAAAUAUUUAAUAUUGAAUGCACAAAUCCAUGUUGGUGAUUAUGUCAAAACGAAACGGAACUAGAAACCUGACCUGCAAGUUAUAAAAUAACUCAUGAUUUAGGGGAGAAUGAGUAGAGCAGGAAUAACAAGAACUCAGGUUCUACAGCAGGUACAGUGAUAGGCGUGGGCCAGAGGAAUGGCGCUCUGGGUGUGUUUGUGAGACAUCAUUGAGCUAUGGUCGUUGAUACUUACCAAGAGCAGGAGACCAUGGUGCCAUGGUGUAGGCAGUCCAGUCAUCAGACAUCAACUCCAGUCAAAGCAUGCGGACCGCCCUGCACUGUCGCCCUCUCACGAAUCUUUUGAUACUAACCACAAAAAAGGCCGACGUAGGUAUUUAGCAUUCAUCAUCGUAUACGACCUUGAACAUCGUAAAUGAGAGUAGCGCCCCUUGGUCCAAGUGGAUCGUGGUCAAGCACGCUAAUUAACCUAUGCAAUCAAGUGUUGUGAGUCGUUUUGUGCUCCGAAAUUGAAGAGGCUGUGCAGCUGAUUUAUUGCAGAUAAACCAUCUGUUAAAUCGUACGACAUCGCACAGCUACACAUGACUCGAUGAGCCCAUUGUUGGCUCCCCCACCUACAUGUACACUGUAGAGUGUGAAUAGAUUAGAUUAGAUUUUGUGUUGAAUGCCUAUAGCUUGAUAAUAUAUGUGUAUAUUAAUACUACUGUAAAAAUAGUAUAAUACUAGUGUUCUUAUAGUUGCUUCCAUUUGAAAGAAAGAUUCGUACUUCAUUGCCAAGUUUCACCUUGAGAUCUCAUUCUUUGGUUGAAUGAUCAAUUUCUAAUGAUAUAUCUAUGCACCCCCCAAGUGCCAGCAGCGUCCUUUAUACAGCUGAAUAUCAAUAAUAUGCAAUCUCUAAGUGAGUAAUACAGACAAUACUACACUCGUCCUUGUUAGAUAUCAGUUUUAUUUCAGCGCGUGUAUAUAAUUGAAAUAUUCUCGUCAAUAAAAUAAUAUCAA
rnacentral:misc_RNA from 1 species